UACGGGGGGGGCAAGCGUUGUUCGGAAUUACUGGGCGUAAAGGGCUCGUAGGUGGCCAACUAAGUCAGAUGUGAAAGUCCUGGGCUUAACCUGGGGACUGCAUUUGAUACUGAUUGGCUUGAAUGCAGGAGAGGAUAGCGGAAUUCCCAGUGUAGAGGUGAAAUUCGUAGAUAUUGGGAAGAACACCGGUGGCGAAGGCGGCUAUCUGGACUGUGAUUGACGCUGAGGCGCGAAAGCGUGGGGAGCAAACAGG
rnacentral:rRNA from 1 species